rnacentral:rRNA from 1 species
ACUGCUCAGUAACACGUGGCUAAUCUGCCCUUAGGACGAGAACAACCCCGGGAAACUGGGGCUAACUCUCGAUGGGUGAAGAACUCUGGAAUGAGUCUUCGCCCAAAAAGCUUCACGUUAUGCGCGUGAGGUCGCCUAAGGAUGAGGCCGCGACCGAUCAGGUUGUUGGUGAGGUAAUGGCUCACCAAGCCUUUUACCGGUGCGGGCCGUGAGAGCGGGAGCCCGGAGAUGGGCACUGAGACAAGGGCCCAGGCCCUACGGGGCGCAGCAGUCGCGAAAACUUUGCAAUACACGAAAGUGUGACAGGGCUAUCCCGAGUGCCAUCCGCUGAGGAAGGCUUUUACCCAGUCUAGAACGCUGGGGGAAUAAGGAGAGGGCAAGUCUGGUGUCAGCCGCCGCGGUAAUACCAGCUCUCCGAGUGGUGUGGAUGUUUAUUGGGCCUAAAGCAUCCGUAGCUGGCUAAGUUAGUCCCUUGUUAAAUCCACCGAAUUAAUCGUUGGAUUGCGGGGGAUACUGCUUGGCUAGGGGACGAGAGAGGCAGACGGUAUUCCCGGGGUAGGGGUGAAAUCCUGUAAUCCCGAGAAGACCACCAGUGGCGAAGGCUGUCUGCUAGAACGCGCCCGACGGUGAGGGAUGAAAGCUGGGGGAGCGAACCGGAUUAGAUACCCGGGUAGUCCCAGCUGUAAACGAUGCAGGCUAGGUGUUUGGACGGCCACGUGCCGUUCUAGUGCCGCAGGGAAGCUGUUAAGCCUGCCGCCUGGGGAGUACGAUCGCAAGAUUGAAACUUAAAGGAAUUGGCGGGGGAGCAC